UCUGGCUUAGGACGAACGCUGGCGGCGUGCCUAACACAUGCAAGUCGAGCGAGGAGAUUCCUCGGGAUGAUCCUAGCGGCGGACGGGUGAGUAACACGUGGGCAACCUGCCUCAUAGAGAGGAAUAGCCUUCCGAAAGGGAGAUUAAUACCUCAUAACAUUGCAGUUUCGCAUGGAACAGCAAUUAAAGGAGCAAUCCACUAUGAGAUGGGCCCGCGGCGCAUUAGCUAGUUGGUGAGGUAACGGCUCACCAAGGCGACGAUGCGUAGCCGACCUGAGAGGGUGAUCGGCCACAUUGGGACUGAGACACGGCCCAGACUCCUACGGGAGGCAGCAGUGGGGAAUAUUGCACAAUGGGGGAAACCCUGAUGCCAGCAACGCCGCGUGAGUGAUGACGGCCUUCGGGUUGUAAAGCUCUGUCUUCAGGGACGAUAAUGACGGUACCUGAGGAGGAAGCCACGGCUAACUACGUGCCAGCCGCGGC
rnacentral:rRNA from 1 species